GACGUCACCCAUAGGUUUCUGAAGAGCCAAAACGAAGCACAAUGUGGGUGGCUCCGGCGUUCGCCAUCUUGGCAGUGACGACUCCAGCUAAUCCAAAAAUGGGCAAAGAGGUGGAGCGUGGAUGGAGCUGAGGCGGGCCGAAUGAAGCC